GACGAACGCUGGCGGCGUGCCUAAUACAUGCAAGUCGAACGAGAGCGACCGGUGCUUGCACUGGUCAAUCUAGUGGCGAACGGGUGAGUAACACGUGGGUAACCUGCCCAUCAGAGGGGGAUAACAUCCGGAAACGGAUGCUAAAACCGCAUAGGUCUUCGAACCGCAUGGUUUGAAGAGGAAAAGAGGCGCAAGCUUCUGCUGAUGGAUGGACCCGCGGUGCAUUAGCUAGUUGGUGAGGUAACGGCUCACCAAGGCCGUGAUGCAUAGCCGACCUGAGAGGGUGAUCGGCCACAUUGGGACUGAGACACGGCCCAAACUCCUACGGGAGGCAGCAGCAGGGAAUCUUCCGCAAUGGACGCAAGUCUGACGGAGCAACGCCGCGUGAGUGAAGAAGGUUUUCGGAUCGUAAAACUCUGUUGUUAGAGAAGAACAAGUGCUAGAGUAACUGUUAGCGCCUUGACGGAUCUAACCAGAAAGCCACGCA
rnacentral:rRNA from 1 species